rnacentral:rRNA from 1 species
AUGGGCGCAAGCCUGAUGCAGCCAUGCCGCGUGUAUGAAGAAGGCCUUCGGGUUGUAAAGUACUUUCAGCAGUGAGGAAGGUGGUAGUGUUAAUAGCACUAUCAUUUGACGUUAGCUGCAGAAGAAGCACCGGCUAACUCCGUGCCAGCAGCCGCGGUAAUACGGAGGGUGCGAGCGUUAAUCGGAAUUACUGGGCGUAAAGCGCAUGCAGGUGGUUUGUUAAGUCAGAUGUGAAAGCCCGGGGCUCAACCUCGGAAUUGCAUUUGAAACUGGCAGACUAGAGUACUGUAGAGGGGGGUAGAAUUUCAGGUGUAGCGGUGAAAUGCGUAGAGAUCUGAAGGAAUACCGGUGGCGAAGGCGGCCCCCUGGACAGAUACUGACACUCAGAUGCGAAAGCGUGGGGAGCAAACAGGAUUAGAUACCCUGGUAGUCCACGCCGUAAACGAUGUCUACUUGGAGGUUGUGGCCUUGAGCCGUGGCUUUCGGAGCUAACGCGUUAAGUAGACCGCCUGGG